CACGACGAGGCGCCGGCAGCGGCUCAGGUUCACCAGGAGGUCGGCCGACGGCUCUGAAGGAACCCGGGCAUCGGCGGGGUCGCUGCGGCUUCAGGAUGAAGUUCACGAACUUCCGGUCCUCGGGGCUGUCGCUGUAGGAGACGUAGGCGUCGUAGAGCUUCCCGUCUGCGGACGGCGGCGGAGCAGCACAUUGAGUCGACACUUCACGUAUAGCAGCGCUGCCAGGAGCAGGGCCAGCAGGACCAGGAGUGAGGCCAGCACCGCGGCCACAUGUCCAGCCAGGCCUGGGGACAGAGCCACUGACUGAGCCACCCCCCGC